rnacentral:lncRNA from 1 species
UUUCAGGCUUGUUGGCCCAAAAUCUGCUCCACCUGUAUUAAUUUAUAAUUUUGGCUUUGAGGCCCCGAAUAAAUGAAUAAGUAAAUGAUUAAAUGAAUAAACAAAAAGAAGACAAUAAUAAAAAUUAAGACUUUUCAAGUCUCUUAGUGACCUCAUCAAUGAAUUUUGACCCAUUUUCCUUCUUCGUCUAUCUUCUAGCACCCGCAUGCCAUAUAGUUGAUCGUGGGUUUAAUCUUCAAACUUGACUCGAAGAGGUGGGCCUCAUUGGCCCAUUAUGAAAUGCAAGAGGAGAGGAGUCCAUUUGGACUCGAGACAUUUUUUGCAUGCAAAGAAAAUAUAAAGAAAUUAAUAUACGUUCAAGGCAUAAAAGUGACAUAUUUCAAAGAAAAAGAAACUAUCAAGAACCAUUUUUUUGAAUGACAAUGAUAAGCACACUUACACAAGAAUGAGAGUCAACAAAUAAAAUGCAAAACAAAGACACCCACUUACAUGCCUCAUGAUUUAUGUUCAUAUAAUAAUGAAUAAAGGUAAAAGAAAGAAGACCAAAUUCAAUGAAUUAAUGCGAGAACAAACAACGCAAGUUUGCGAGAGUAAAGGGAUGAGGCGAUAAGAAAAAUACCCCUGACUUCUAAAAUUGAACAAACAUAGAAACUAAUUCAUAUAACAAAAGAAAAUAAAGGCUAACUUAUCAAGAAAGUGAAUCUUUAAAUUUCAAUUGAGGAGAAAUCAACGAAGAUUUAUACAUCUAAGUCAUGGCCAACUUUAGGGAAAACAUGUAAUGACCUAUGAUUUAUCGUUCUAAGACAUCGUUGAUUCUCUUUUGACAUUAUAACUCAAAGAGAGACAUGAAUCAAGUCUUUACACACAUAAAGAACAAGUAUAACAAUCCAAAGGGAGUAAAAAAUUUAGAAUAAAAGUUUAGCAUCUCUAAAAAUGAAAUAUCAUUCAACAAUCAUACUUUACAUGACUCGAGAAUAUCUAAAUAAUUCUAUUUAGCCAAAAAAUUCAAAAUUUCUCAUCAUUUUGACAAAUUAACAACAUGCGAAAAAAGAAAAAAAAGGAAUAAACAUCUUGGAUGGAAAGUAAAGCUAGUACUCAUCUCUUAUAUAAUGAUUUUAAAAUCCAUUAAAAUAAUUAGCAGACAAAUGACAAAUUCUUGACUUAAUCAAUUAUUAUUUUUAUUAAGGUGAAACAAACAAUACUAACUAUUUUUCCAACAUAAAAGAAACAACUUUACAUGCUAAUAACAACAUAUCUACUAAUAAUGAAUUUAAACAUGACAUGAAUACGUCUUUUGAGCAAAGAUCAAAACUUUAUACAUAACAAUCAAAGAAUAAAGUCAAAAGGUAAAACAAUCAAUAUUAACUAUUCUUUUCAACAUAAAGAAAAUAACUUUACAUGCUAAAAACAAAAAUAUCUACCAACAAUGAAUUUAAACAAGACAAUGGUAUGUUUUCAAGUAAAGAUCUAAACUUUAUCCAAAAUAAUCAAAGAAUAAGGUCAAAAGGCAAAACAACAAUAAUAACUAUUUUUUUCAACAUCAAGAAAAUAACUUUAGAUGCUAAAAACAAACAUAUAUACCAACAAUGAGUUUAAACAAAAUAUGAGUAUAUUUUUCAAGCAAAGAUCUAAAUUUUAUCCAAAAUAAUCAAAGAAUAAGGUCAAAAGGCAAAACAAUCAAUAUUAACUAUUUUUUUCAACAUAAAGAAAAUAACUUUACAUGCUAAAAAUAAACAUAUCCACUAACAAUGAGUUAAACAAAGCAUAAGUACAUCUUUUAAGCAAAAAUUGAAAUUUUAUGUAUAAUAAUCAAAGAAUAAAGUCCAAAGAGGCACGUACAACUAUUGCUAGCUCAUUUUUAUAUCAUGAACAUGAAAAUAAUUAAAAUAUCGAUACAACAAUGUCAUAUUGCCUUCAAGGCCAUCUACAGCAGACAAUCCCAGCAAACAAAAUUAUAACUACGAACUACGAAGAAGAAAAAGAUGAAGAAGAAAACCAUAAUAAAACUAAGAAAAAAAAAGGAAAGUUGUGUUUACUUUUUUGGGGGCAGCAAAAUCAGACUACAAGCUUCGUCGAAAUAACGACCACGAAAAAUUCGCCGGCAACUCAAAAAUUUUGAUUAGUCGACCAACUCUAUAAAACAAAAAUUUUUACUAAAUAAAAAUAAAUAUUUUGCUCAAAAGUAUUUUUUUCUACCUUUCUAGCCUCUUUUUUUGUACUUUUCUACCACCCUUUCUACCAUAGUAGUGGUAGUAUUUAUAGGAGAGAAUGAGGUUUUAUUUUCUUUUCUCCACCAAUGUGGGAGAAAAAUAUUUAUAGGAAAGGAUGAGAAUUUAUUUCUUGUCAUCCACCAAUGUGGGAGAAAAGUCAUUUAUUUCUUAAACCUUGUUCCUACAUGACCUGAUCAAUUCGAUCAGGCACUCGCCAUCUAUUUUCAUUGUUCAAAUCUUUGACAACAUGAAAAAACCAAACGCUCUACCCCCCUCUCUAUCUAUCCAAGGGAUGGAAGGGCAGAGGCCUUUGGUGUCCCCUCCAGUCAAGAAUUGGGGCCUCACAAUCACUAGCCAAUAUGCUUUUCUCUCAUGCCUUUCUUAGUUCAUGGUUCGAUAUCUGGUGUCCUAGGCGUAGAGGAACCACACCAAUCCAUCCCGAACUUGGUGGUUAAACUCUACUGCAGUGAUGAUACUGUAGGGGAGGUCCUACGGAUGUUUAUGGAAUUCAAAAAUUAAAGAUAAGGUGAGGUGAAAAAUAAUGUGGAGGAAAAUUCUACAAUGUAGUACAAUUUUUGAAUUUCAAAAUUGGGAAAGGACAAAGUUGGGGGGAAAUAGUACAAUGUAGUACAAUUUAAAAUUAUUUUUUUGGUGGAAGUUGGUAGAACUUAUGAGAAUUUUUGGGAAUUUUGGGGUUGUUUAAAAUAUAACCCCAAUUGAAAAUUUUAAUUUAGCCAUAUUCAUUUAAUUUUGACCAAAUUAAAAAUUAAUUGACGGAUUGCAUUGCAAUUAUGGCCAAUUUGAUUUCAACUAUGGUCAAAUCUAUUAGAUUGACUAAAUUAAAUUAAAAUUCGAUAUGAAUUAAUAGUUCUUUUAAUCUUGAGCUUCUUGAUUUAAUAAAAUCAAACACAUAUUUAUCCGAAUAAAUUAUUUUUUAGAAUAAAUUAUAUUUAAAUCAAGAUUUUAAUCCUUUAAAUUUAUUUCAAGACAAACCUUGAUUAAAAUAUGGUAUUUUAUAAAAAUAGAUAUUUAAGUAGCAAAAUUAUGUAAUUUCGUAUAAUUGAAUACGAUAAUAUAUAAUUGCUACUUAAAAUAACAAACUUACCCAGAUAAAUAUUUAAAAAAAAAAAUUAUUCGGAUAAAAUAAAUGUUGUAAUUUUAUUAAAAAAAUCGAAGAAACUUGGAAUUAAACUUAGUUAUGGAGGACAAAAAUUAGGUGUCAACAGUGAUAGGCUUACUUUUCAAGGUUCGCCGCGACAAGUGCCAUCACGACCCUUGUUUUUUAUGAGUCGUGACAAAUUUGUAUUAGGGCAGCCAGGUUUCAUUGGUCUCAAUGGUGUAAGAUGUCUAAUAGAGUCUCAUGGAUUGAUACGUAGACGGCUGUAUCUAUCUUUGAGAGGCUAUAGGAUGUCUUUAUAAAACUUACCUUAUUUUUAUUUCUCAUCAUGCGAAGUUCUUUCAUAUCUUAUGUUCUGAGUUAUGUUUCACUCUUUUUGCACAGAUGGUGUUGACUAGGUCCUACGAGAGUAGUGAUGCAGGGCCUUCACCCAGAGGGCGAGCCUCAAGUCGUGGACAGACUCAAGGAAGAGAACGGCCCCGUGGUGCAGCCCCAUCUAGGAAAAGUGCUAGGGGACUCUUCCCUGGGCCUCGUAUUGAGUAGGUCGGAGGUGUGGGUCCUACUCCAAUUUUUCAUAAUUUGUCUUCCCCAGUGUUGGAGGGAUGGUUGGUAAGUUUGUUGACCCUUUUAGAGAGUUCUUCCUUGGUUAUGUUGGGUAUUCCUCCAGUUCGGAGUGUGGAUCCUCUUGUUGCACUUGCUUCUGGUUUGGGUACUCCUUAGACCCCGAGUCCUAUUCCACCUUCUGUACUGAUAUCUGACUAUGGGGUUUCGAGAUCAGAAAUCCAACCGUCAUCUUUGCUACUACUCCAUAUGGGAUCACAGCCUGCUAUAUUUAUUAUGUCUUCUCUCAUGGCUAGAGCAGAGAUGUCUUCUAAGGAUCAAAAGAGGUUUGAGAGGUUUUCUCGAUUGGGUCCUCCCAAAUUUGGUGGCACAGUGGGCAAGGAUGCCUUUGAGUUUUUGAUUGAUUGCUGAGAAAAGUUGCACAAUUUGGGUUUACUCAAGUUUCAUAGAGUUACUUAGACCUCUUAUCAGUUGAGAGAUGCAGAGAAAAAUUAGUGGGGGUCGCUUGUCAGUUUUAGACCCCGUGAUUCUCCCAAGAUGACUUUGGAUUAGGUCACUGAGGAUUUCCUAGAUAGAUUUUUGCCUUUCAAUUUAGAGAUUGUAUGCGGGACGAGUUUGAUCAUUUGAAAAAGGGAUCCUUGAUAGUUGUUGAGUAUGAGGCAUAUUUCUAUGCCUUAUCCAAAUAUUUCUAUGAUAGCAUUUUCACCGAGUCUAAGAAGAUUCAAAAAGUUUGUGAAGGUUUUGGAUGUCUCCCUUCAGUUGGUUACUCUUAGGUAGCUAUGUUUAGGGAUUCUUUCAGAGUAUUAUAGAUCAUCCUAAGAUAACAGAGGAUAUUAUUAGUGCAUCUCAGGGAGGCACCAAAGAGGCACGAUAUUUUGGUGAGUUUAGGAAUCAGACCUCUCGAGGCAGAGAUUUAGAGAUUUUUAUGGAUACCAUGGUAGGCCAGUCCAGGCGCCUUUAUAAAGCUCAAGUGGUGGACCUUUUAGUUAAGCAGUUAAGGGUGGUCGUUCGAGCUCAGUUGUAUUUUUUUUAUUGAGACUGGUCAUAGAAGUUUCUAUGUGUGUGAUGAGAUUUGCAAUGUGGACACGGAUUUUCCCCUCCGAGUAGUUUGGGCUAUUCCAACUGUGAGGGGCAGGAGUGCUACCAAAGGUGCAAGGGGCAUACGUAGUGGAGCUCGAAGGAGUGUUUAUGGAGACACUAAGGUAGUUGGUGGUCGUGGGGUCACCGCGGUAGUCGAAGUUACUGUUAUGUUAUACCAGCCAGGCCUGAGGAAGAGGCUUCUUAUGCUAUGAUUAUAGGUAUCAUCCUCGUGUGUUUCAGACUUGCAUCUGUAUUAUUUGAUCCUGAAUUGACUUUUUUCUAUGUGUCUGUGUAUUUUUCUUUGAUUUUUGAUUCUGUAAGUAAGCCUCUUACUAUGCUUAUUCGUGUAUCAAUCCCGGUAGGUGUUUCUUUAGUAGUGGAUCGAACGCAUCGAUCUAUGUUGUGACUUUUGUAGGGCGUGAGACUUUGGUAGAUCUUCUUGUAUUAGAUAUGGUUGAAUGUUAUUUUGGGUAUGGAUUGGUUGGCUCCCUAUCAGGCCAUCCUAUAUUGUUAUGCCAAGACCAUGACUUUAGCUUCGCCGAUUAUUCCAAGGAUAGCUUGGAAAGGUGCACUUCAUUCGGGUUCUAGGAGUAUUAUAUCUUAUGUUCACGCUCAUAAAUUAGUUGAGAGGGGAUUUUUAUCUUACUCGGCCCAUAUUUGUGACACCAGUGUUGUUUUGCCUCCUUCCUUAGAUUCUAUUUGUAUUGUUCGUAAGUUUAGGGAUGUGUUCCCUACGGACUUAUCAGGUAUGCCUCCAGAUCGAGAUAUUGAUUUCACUAUUGAUGUUGAGCCAGGCACCAAGCCCAUCUCUAUUUCUCCUUAUAUAAUGGCCCCCAGCAGAGUUAAAGGAAUUGAAGGAUCAAUUACAUGAGUUUUUGGAUAAAUGAUUUAUCCGACCUAGUGUUUCGUCUUAGGGUGCGCCAUUCUUGUUUGUGAAAAAAAGAAAGGUCCUAUGUAGAUUUGUAUUGAUUAUCAACAAAUGAAUAAGGUGACGGUUAAGAAUAAGUAUCCUUUUCCUCGCAUUGAUGAUUUAUUUGAUCAGUUUCAGGGUGUAGCAGUGUUUUUAAAGAUCGAUUUGAGGUUCGGUUAUCACUAAUUAAGGAUUAGAGCUUCUGAUAUUCUGAAGAUAGCUUUUCAAACUCGAUAUGGCCAUUAUGAGUUUUUGGUUAUGUCCUUUGGAUUGACCAAUUCCCCUGUUGCAUUUAUGGAGUUGAUGACCCUAGUGUUUUGACCAUAUCUCGACUCUUUUGUUAUUGUGUUUAUAAAUGAUAUCUUAGUUUAUUCCAAGAGUGAGGUUGAGCAUGAGGAGUAUUUGCAGAUUUUUCUUCAGAGAUUGAGGGAUGAGAAGUUGUAUGUUAAGUUCUCUAAGAGCGAGUUUUCGUUGGAGUUUGUGUCUUUCUUAGGUCAUAUGGUGACUAAGAAAGGUAUUAUGAUUGAUCCAACCAAGGUUGCAGUAGUCACGAUUGGGCUAGACCUACUUCCUCCACCGAGAUUCAGAGUUUUAAUGGCUUGGCUAGGUAUUAUCGGCGUUUUAUUGAGGGUUUCACUUUUAUUGUAGCUCCCUUGACUAAGUUGACUCAAAAGAAGAUUUUUUUUUGUGGUUUGAUAUUUGUGAAAUAAACUUCGACUAGCAUGGUAGCUUGGCACAUCUUUUGACCCAAGAAAGGCCUUUGGACUUAAUGGUUCAAUCUUUAGCUAACCAGAUGGUUAGGCUUGAUAUUUCGACAACGGGGCAUGUUUUGGCAUUUGUGGAUGCUAGAUUUUCUUUGAUGAAGCAGAUUCGAGCUCAUCAGUUUGAUGAUAUUGGAUUGAGGUCGAUUUGAGAUAAGGUAUUGAGUGGGAGUCUAAGGAAGCCUCACUUGAUUCAGAUGGAAUUUUGUGGAAUGGAGGCCAAGUUUGUAUGACGAGAGUGUGUGACUAGAUUAAGUUGAUCUUGGAGGAGGCCCAUUGUUCCAGAUAUUCCAUCCAUCAAAGUAUGACUAAGAUGUAUUGUGAUUUAAGAAACCACUACUGGUGGGGUGGUAUGAGGUGAAAUAUAGAAGAUUUUGUGGCUCUUUGCCUAUGUUGUUAGCAGAUGGAGGCUAAGCAUAUGAGAUAUGGUGGUUUGCUUCAAAGGUUACCCAUUCCUGAGUGAAAGUAGGAACGCAUAACCUUGGACUUUGUGACUGGUUUGCCUCGUACUUCUCAUAGUUCUGACAAUGUUUGGUUCAUCGUGGAUCGAUUGACCAAGUCAGCUUAUUUUAUUCUGGUUUAGGUCUCAUUCAGUGCUGAUAGGUUAGCCCAUAUCUACAUUUAUGAUAUUGUGUGUCUUCAUGGUGUGUCAGUGUCCAUUAUUUCAGAUCAAGGUCUUAUAUUCACAUCUCACUUUUGGAAGACUUUUCAGGAUGAGUUGGGUACUUGAUUGAUCUUAGCACAGGGUUUCACCCCUAGAUUGAUUGCUAGUCAGAGCAAAUUAUUCAGGUUUUGGAGGAUAUGCUUCGUACAUGCGUGAUAGAUUUUGGUGGAUAGUGGGAGCAUGAUGGAUUAUUGCACUUUAUUUUGGUAUUGGAUUUUAUGGACUGCAUUGAUUGAAUUAGAUUUGCACUUGAUCUCGUGUCGACUUUUAAAAGUUAGAGUUUAGAAGUCCCUUGACAUUUUUUUCUUUUGCGAGUGAUGAUUGUCCGAGUGUCACCUUUCUUGCUAUUAGAGUAGCCUUUUGACGUGGACUUGCCUAUUAUUUUCUUUAAGGUUGGAACCUCAAUUGGGUCAAAGCUCUCACAUUGUAGCAUGACGAUUCCUUUAACUUUUGGUGACGACACAAAGCACAUGGGUUAUAGAGCUUUUGAAACUGAACCUUUUUUAUGAUCCAAUUUGGCGUUAACAUAAUUUGCAUCAACUAUAUUUUCAUUAUCAAUGAUGAUUUUCUCCCCCGCGUUAGUGUCGUGAUCUUUUUCUUUAAGAUGAAGUAUUUUUUGGUGUGAUGACUAACAAUACAGUGAAAUUUGCAGUACUUAGCAUUGUCGACUUUGUUAAAUUCUACAGGUCACUUUGACUUAGGGAGUUCAAUGACUUCUUUGGCUAGCAACUCAUCAAAAAUCUCAGAAAUAUCAGGGUCGGAAAAAGGAUAUACCUUUGCUUGUAACUCCUUCAAAGUUGGUCAAUUUUUCACUCCUCGUAAUUGUUGCUUUGGAGAUUUCUUAUUCAAUUUUUGUCUUAUGGAGGCCAUCAUAGAACUCAAAAUUAUUGUCGUAGAUUCCCAAAUUUGGUUUUUUGAUGAGUCCUUGAAUCUUAUGACUUCUUUUCUGGGAUCAAAGACAGGUGACCGCUUUCAUGACUUGCAAUGCUUAACUCCAUGUCAUGAGCACACAUAGCAAAUUCUUCAAAAGUUCAAGGCUUAGAUCCUUGAAGGAUAUAGACAAGGCCCCAAUCCAUUCCUUUGUGAUCCUUGCAAUUAAACUCAAUGUUCGCCAGCGAUUGAUGUAGUCUACUACAGGCUUAUCUUUACUUUGUCUUGUGUUUGUCAACUCCGUCAUGCUAAUCAUAUGACGGGUGCUGUAGAGAUGAUUUAAGAACUUACUUUCUAGUUGCUCCUAAUAAUCAAUUGAUUCAGAUUCCAAAUUUAUGUACCAAUGAAAGCCGUUGCCUUUCAAAAAGCAAACAAAUUGCUUGAUAAGAUCACUAUGUGUACCACACUACUACAAGUCCUAACGAAAUGAGCGAUGUUUUUCCUUGGAUUUUCAUUUCCAUCAAAUUGUUAAAACUUUGGUGGUUGAUAUUCAACUGAUAUCGGUAAGUCCUUGAUUCGCUUAGAAUAUGGCUUUGAGUAUCCUAUAAAACUUUAUGAUGGACUGCUAUAUUGCAUCUAGAUGGUGUUUGCAAUCAUAUCUUGCCGUUGUUGAACUAUUAAAGUAUCCAUUGAAGCAGAUCGAUUAGUGCAUUGAUUGUCAAUUGACUUGAUGAGAGAUUCACCAUAAAUUUUUUCCUUGAAGUGUUAGAUUAUAACUUGACUCUGCAGGGUUGUAGAGAUCUAACUUGCCCAUAAGUUGGGUGAUUUGAAGAUCUUUCUCAUUCACAGGCUUCUUCAAGGCUUUAAUGGUAUGUUCCAUCAUUGCCAACUGCAUCAACCAUGAAGGUAUUGACUUUCAUUAAAUUUAGAGAAUUCAUUGAGUCCUCAGAUUCUUCAAAGUUGAAAAUAGUUUCAGACAAGUCGUUUGAUAACAUAGGUGCAAGAUUGACUCCGGGGGUUGUAGUUACAACCGAAAUUUAAGAUUUUCUCCUUUUUGUUAUCUCUAAAAAGGUCAAGUUUUGAGAUCUAUCCAAAGCACAAGCGUUGAGCUUGCAUCGAUUAAUGGGGCCAGCAAGUUUGAUCUCUGUAGAUGUGACAGUAAUAGAUUUCUUGCACAAAACGUCAUUGAUUUUUUUGAAUCCUAUUGCGGCAGUUGAGUUUGUGAUUUUCCAAUUCACGUAAGGAAGAGAUAAAGAGCAGAGAUGGUCCCACCAGGCACACUAAAAUUUAUUCGCAAUAAAUUUUUGUGGUGCUGAAAAUUAACUCCAAGAAAAAAUAAAUAAAAUCAAAAUAAUUUAUUAAAUAAAUUUUGUGAGUACAAUUCUAUUGUUCUCUUGAUUCUUCCCUCCUUAGCUUUUUUGUGAUUCGAGGGUCUUACGUAACGUGUUUCUCGAAUAUAGGAUGAUUCAGACUUCCUUGAGAUGUGUUUGAUCUCCAGAGACGUCGUGCAACACUUCUUUGUUUUAGGUUGAUCUUGGGAAGAACUCUGUUGACUAUUCCUUUGAAGAGUUGUGCAAUUGAUGUUGCGACUUGCUCCAACGCUGGCAGCAUAACCUCAGAAAAAUUAUGUAACCCUCUUAUUUAUAGUUGUAAGGGGUAGACAAUUUAAUUGUAAAUAACCUCUUCUUCCUCAUUUUGAUUGGUCCAUCAAGUUAUCAAGCUUAUCACAAAUGGUGUGUGAUAAGGUUGCUUGUGAUUGGCCAAAAAUAUGUUAUUUGGUAUACUUGAUGAUGAUUCAUUGGUUGUUGAACUUGACUUGGCUUGCCACGCCAUUUAAAUAUUUGGUCUUGGCUUGUUGGUCUUUAAUUUGACUAGGAUGCUACGUCACUUGACUCGUGGUAUGAGUUUGGAUUUCAAGAUGGACCUUGAAUUUAAUUUAAUGAACUUAUUAACUUUGUACAGCUCAAACUAAUUUCAACCCAAACAAAUAUGAAUUCAAUCCAAAUUUUCUAUGAAUUUGAUCCAACAAAUUUUAUCUGUCUACAAGUACAUGCUACAAUUUAUUUAUUUAUAUUUAUUUAUAUUUAUAAUUAUAUUUAUAUUUAUAAUAUAUAAAAAAGGCCUAAAGCAGGCAGGAAGAGGUUGUCCUGCUAGUUUGCUUCCUCAGGGUUACAUUGGUCACUUCAAUUAGGGAUAUUAUAGACUUUUCAUAGUAUUUUUCUGUAUUGCAACUUGCAUGCCUUUCAAGCAUUCAUCCUAAAUCUUAACGUGACAAACACACACGAGAAUAUUUUUGUGUGUUUUCCAGCUCAUCUUCACAUAUCUAUCUCAAAGUUUGGGUAAAGCGAUUUACUCUUUGAAGGUUGUAAUUUUGAACAUUUGUGUGAGUUCUCUUUAAUAAUUGCUCUAUUAUACAAUUCCAUUGAUUAAUUUGGAGUUCUCUUCAUCUGUUUGAUAUUGUGUCUGCCUUCGAUUUUGUUAUUCAUAGUUUCUUCUUGCUGCAAUUUAUUUUUUUUGUUAUCUAGACAAUGAUGUUUCCUACUUCAAUGUGAAUUUCUCUUUGAUUAUUUAUCCAUUCUUUUACAGGCUUUAUCAAUUUCGUAGUUAUGUGUUCUAUUUGGUGAUAUCUCUACUUUUAGGUCUAAUGGUUUCAGAGAUGAACUUUAUUUCUUUGUGCGAUUAUGGCUUUAAAUUUGCUUUUUCAUUGAAAUUUUUUAUCGUAAACUUGAAUGAUGGUACUUAAAUUUUGUUUCUUUUCGGUGUGAUUUAGAGGACAUGAUUUUAUAGAUUUAUUUUGCAAAUUUGCUUGCUCUCUAUUUAUUUUAAUUUGUUUUCAUCCUACUUCUCCUCUGUUUACUGAUGACACCAUAGCAAUUACUGAAAGAUCCUAAACCUGGAAAGAGUUUCUAUUUUAGUCAUCGUGCAUUCAAGGUAAACUAUUUUUGGGGCGUGGAUAAAAAACCACGUCGACUACACCUUAUCCUUGGGUGUUGAUACUCAAGAUGUUUAGAAACCUACUACUGCAAAGGAUAAAGUUAUAAAUUACUAUGCAUUUGUUGUUACUCAUGAACUCAAGAUCUUUUGUGCUCUAUCAAAUACUUCCAGACUGAAGCCAAAUAAUGGAAUACCAAUGUCUUUGGUAAUAUCUUCCAUAAGCUUAAAAGACUCCUAGCCCGACUUAAUGACAUUCAUAAAUCCAAACACUGCCCUUAUAGAAAUUUUCUCCAUAACUUGGAAAAUGAGGUGCUAGAGAAGUACAACCUCACUCUUUAGUAUAAGCAGGAUUUCUGAAAAAAAACAAAUCCAAAAUCAACUGGCUCAGUGAGUGUAAUGCAAAAACUAAAUUUUUCCAUACAGCCACCCUCAACAAAAGGAGAAAAAACUAAAUCCUCUCCCUAAAAGAUGUUACUAGAAACCUCAUACAGGGAGAGGAAGAAAUUAUCAAUCACAUAGCCAACUUCCUUAACACUCUCUAUACCACUGAACACAGUAACUCCAAGUGGUACAAAACCCCAGUCUAGAAAUAACAUCACUUCCCUCUUUAAGGAGACUAAGAGCUUGUUGGCAACCCCCUAAGAGAUAGUAAAAUUACCAAAGCUCUUAGUAUUUUCCAUCCCAUGAAAGCCCCUGGACCAAAUGGGCUCCACCCUUUAUUCUUCAAAAAAUUAUUGGAAUUUUGUGGGUAAGAAGACCAUAAAAUAUUUUCACAAAGUCUCUAAAGACAAUUGCAUUCCUAAGGAGGCCAACACCACAUUUCUCUGUCUCAUUCCUAAAUGCCAUAAUGCCACAUCAAUUAGGAAUUUCAGACCUAUUAGGCUCUGUAACUUCUCCGACAAGCUCAUUACUAAAAUCAUACUCAGUAGGAUCGAACCUUACCUAGACCUUCUCAUUGGACCUAAUCAAGCUAGCUGCUUAGCCAACUAGAGGGCUGCAGACAAUGUAUCAGUUACUUUAGGAAAAUGAGAGGGAAGAAGGCCAACAUGAUCUUGAAAAUAGAUCUAGAAAAAUCCUUUCAUAGGCUUGAAUGGUCCUUCAUCCAUGCACCCUUCUCUACUUCAAUUUCCCCAAGAACCUCACUAACCUCAUCAUGUCAUGUGUGACCACUUCCUUUAUUUCCAUCCUCAUUAAUGGCAAACCAUCCCCCUUUUUUGAACCCACCAGAGGCAUAAAAUAGAGAGACCCCAUUUCACUUUACCUUUUCAUCCUGUAUAUGGAAAGACUCUCCAGGAUCAUCAAUGAAACUGUACUCUAAAAGACUUGGGACCCCAUCAAAAUCACUACCAGUGGGCCCAAAAUUUCUCACCUCUUGUUUGCUGAUGACCUCACCCUUUUUGCCCAAGCUGACCUCAAAAACUGCAGAACCAUCAUCUAGCCCCUUAAUUACAUUAGUAAUAUCUCAGGAUAAAGAAUCAACUAUGCUAAGUCUAAAGUCAUCUUCUCUAAAAAUUACAGCAACAGUCUAGCCCAUGAAUGCUCCAUCAUCCUCAACAUCAAGAGAGGAGAUACCUUUAAAAACUAUCUUGGCUUUUCCAUCCUGAAUCACAAGCCCAUCCGUGCUUUCUUCCAGUACAUCAUUAACAACAUGAAUAAUAAACUAGUAUGCUGGAAAACCCACAUGCUUAACAUGACAGACAAAACUAUUCUUGCUAAAUCCACCUUGAGCAGUAUGCCCAUUAAUGUCAUGCAAUACCUUAAGCUUCCCCCAAAAACUAUUGAGAUUAUUGAUAGAAUUCAAAGGAACUUCGUGGGGAAGUAAUGCUGGAAAAAAGAAACUUCACCUUGUAAGCUAGGACAUCAUUGCAAGAAGCAAAUUCGAAGGGGGUCUAGGACUUGAAGACUCUUCAAAAACCCAAACUCUCUUUGGGUAAAAGUCUUAAUUUCUAAAUACCAAAAACAAAGAAGAAACAGUAAUGGUAGGACUUGGGUCUUUAGAAAUUGGAAAAUUAUCAGGAUGGAAAGAUUGUGGUAGGGGGAUGGCUUGGUCCAUCCACAAGGGUAACAAAGACAAAUUCUUCUAUAACUCAUUGAUACCUCAUACCAACCCUAUUAGGCACCACAUCUAUAGCCCUCUAAGAUUGAGGGAAGAAAACAUCAAAGUUGAAUAGAUCACCACGGAAUAUGGGAUUUGUCAAAACUAUCCAUCCAGAUACUUGGAAACAUUGUGAAAUCAUUCUUCACUCUAAACCCUUCCCUUGAGCACCAGAGAUGAUCAUCCAUACUAGAAACUAAUCAGUGAUGAAAAAUUCACUAGUAGUAUCUAUGAUGCCAUUGCUCAAUUUAUGAAUACCUCUCUCAACAUUGAUCUAAGAGUCUUCAAUGAAAUAUGGAAAGCUAACACACCCAAUAAGAUUAAGACUUUCCUUUGAAUUUUCACCUAUGGAAGAAUCCUCACCAAUGCUUACCUCAGUCAAAUAGGGUUGUACAUAGACCCCGAAUGCUCUUACUGCAACCUGGACACCACAACCUCUAAGCAUAUUUUCUUCCAAUGUCCCAAUGCUUUUGACUUCUAGAGAAAACUGCAAGAAACUGGGGUAAUCCCUAUAAUGACUACCCUUCACACCUUGGACAAUGUUAAUUGGGUAGUGUUGAUACCCAAUUUUAUCUCUCCAAACAUAAAAUUAACGCAUUCAGGCUCCCUGAUCAUUAAAUGACAUAAAAUGCAAUUUGUCGUAUAUUUUUUACAAUUGUUAAUAAAUUAUUAUUCCCUUCGUUUAAAAAAGAAUGACCUACUUUUCUUUUUAGUCUGUUUAAAAAAAGAAUGAUCCCUUUCUUUUUUUGGCAAUACUUUAAUUUCAAUUUUCCACAUAGCAUGUUUAGGACCACAAGAUUAAAGGGCAUUUUGGUACAUUUGACACAACUUUAAUUUAAGGCCACAAGAUUAAAAAGUCUUCUUCAUUUUCUUAAACUUUGUGUCAAGUCAAAGUUGAUCAUUCUUUUUUAAACGAGGGAGUAAUAAUCAUCAUUAUUUUAAAAUUUUUAUCAAUUUAUUGUCAUAUUUUAACUUUGCAUAAUUUAUUGAUAAUUAUUCUUAAUUUCAUAAAUUUUAAAAUUUUUGUCAGUUUAUUAUCAUUUUAAUUUCUUGUACAGUCAUUUGCAUGCGUAUAUAGCAUAGCACUGCAAUUUUUUUACCGUACAUUAUAAUUUUAAUUGUUUAUAGUAUAAUAUAUUUUUUUGGAUAAUUUUAUUAUAUUUGUUAUUUACAUUUUUCUGUAAUUAUAUAUCGACAUUCAUAUUUUUAUACGUUAUUUAAUAUAGUCUGCAAACGAUAAUUUCGACUUAAUUAUUUUGAUACAUGGAGCAACAAAUCAGUCAAAUCAAAAUCUGAUCACUUUUUAAAAAGUGACAUUUGAGAUGAUAGGUUAAUGCUUUCAUUCGUUGAAUAAAUAAUCUUUACACAUUGGUUAAAAGGGUGUAAGACCCAUGGGAUAAUAUGUAGUAACUUAAAUCAUUUACUCUCUUCGUUUAAAAAUGAUGACCUACUUUGAUUUGACACAAAGUUUAAGAAAAUAAAAUUUUUUUUUUGAAUCUUGUGGCCUUAAAUUAAAGUUGUGUCAAAUACACCAAAAUAUCCUUUAAUCUUAUGGUCCUAAAUAUAUCAUGUGAAAAGUUGAAAUUAAAGUAUUACAAAAAAAAAGAGAUCAUUCUUUCUAAAAUGGAUUAAAAAUAAAAUAAGUCAUUCUUUUUUAAAUGGAGAGAGUAUUAAAGAGACAAGAAGAGGUAGUUUAUUAUUUUUUUUGGAUAAAAAAAUGAAUUCCUCCUUAUUAUAAAUAAUAAUAAGAGGGUAAUUAUUUUUAACCUCACAGUGCAUACACAAACGCACAUGCACACAGACACACAUACCUCCCCAUUCUCUCUCUCACCAUCUCCGACAGCCUGACAGGCGGAGCACCACCAGUCGCUGCCCCUCUCUCUCCUCUUCCCUCUCUCCUUCUCCUUCACUGUCGCCAACAAAAUCGACCGGAGCCGUUACCGCACCCAAUCCCCCGUUUUCUCUCUCCGCUUCAGCACCACCAGCUGCCACCACCGCCUCAACAUCCACCAGAGGAGCAUCCAACCAGACAAGCCAGCAGCCCAUUCCACCCGUGUUUCCACCACUGUCGUUGGAGCUUCCACGGGUCUCACUGCCAUCGCCACCCUUUCCCUCUUUGCCCUCAUCGUUGACCAGCCUACUAUCACUACUGUAUUUUCUCCCUUUACCUGCAUUUUUUAAUAAAAACUAUUCUUUGCAGAUCUGUUUGGCUUUCGUAUUUUUUGGUGUUGCUUCGGUGAAAUCCGUGGAAGCAGCGCCUCCCUUUUUCCAUUGUUGCAACCAGAUCUGACCGGGAAAUAUUUUUCUUUGUUGAAAUCUGUUUGUUAGCUUGUAUACUCUUGUAUCGUUAGUUUGUUCUAUCUGGAUAUUGUUACUGUGUUAACGGACUAAGUUUGUUAAUUUUUUUUUUUGUCUUUUGUUCGAAGAUAAAUCAGCUCGGAACUUACAUUCUUUUUGACAAAUUUUGGAUUAUUUUGAUAAAACUGUGAUGACCUCUGCCACUCGACUGCUUUCUUUCAUAAUUUUAUCACUUUUGCUUUAUGCUAUUAUCUUUCUCUGUCUCUUUAUUAUUAUUAUUAUUAUUAUUAUUAUUAUUAUUAUUUGUGGACUGAUUUAGUAUUGUUUAAAUUUAAAUUUUUUUCCAUUGACUUGCUAUUAUUUUACUUGAUUAUAUGAUCACUUAAAUAUGUGUUCUUGAUUCAUUUGAUAUUGAUGCGUAUUUUAAAUGACACGUGUAAUCUGUCUUUUUCUGUUUAUUUUUCAAUGAUUUUAGGUAGUAUUGGUAUGCAUCUUUAUUUUUUGCGCCUUAGUUACUUUAUUUUAUUUAUAUUUGAUUGUCCUUGAUUUAUUAGUUACUUUAUUUUAUUUAUAUUUGAUUGUUCUUGAUUUAUUUGAAUAUAUUUCAUCCACUUCCAAAAAUUUUGUUCGGCAAGUUGUGCUAUUGUGUUUUUGUUUCAUUUGACUACUGUUGUUUGUAAUUUUUUUUUUUUUUGCAUAUUAUUUUACAUUAUUUUAGUUGAUUUUAUAUAAUUUUGUGUUUGGAAAUAUAUUUGAUCGAUGAAGAAACUCUCCGUUGAUUUUCGAGGCCUUAGCAAAUAAAAAGAUGGAUAUUUCGUAUACAAAUACGUAAUAAAAUAAAUAAUUUCGAGUAAUGAUGAAUCUUUAUAAAUUCUUUUAAAAAAACUUUAUAUCAGCCCACUUUUUAACAAAAUUAUAUUUUUAAAUAAAUAUAUGUUCAUGUGCCUUUAUAAUUUAUGUUAUUACUAUUUAUUUGUUACUGACAUUGUUAUUACAAGUGUUUAUAUAGGUUAUUGAGAAUACUCAUCGGGAAUAGCAUGUAAAGAAGACCUUGAGUUUUAUAUUUGUAUUUUUAUAUUUUUAUAUUUAUACAAAUACUAUCAUAGUAAAAUUUUAUUUUUCGAGGCGUUGGACGGGAAUGUUCUUUAUUUAUACAAACAAACUUCAUCCUGCUUUUAGGCAAACUUAGGCCGUAAUAUUUAUACAAUUAAGAAUUAAAUUAAUUUAGAUAUUAAAUCAAACAAAAUUAAAAAUACUUUCUUCUCAUUUUUCAUACAUGUCUUUCUAUAUUCUUACGUUCAUAUUAUUUACGAUACAUAUAUAUUUAUACAUAGUUUAAAUGUAGAUUAUUUUAAUAUGCAUUUUUAUAUUUAUAUUUAUAAACAUCAAAGUUUUUCCUUCAUCUUUUAAUAAACCCAUUUUUAUAUUUAUAUUUAUAAACAUCGAAGUUUUUCCUUCAUCUUUUAAUAAACCUAAGUCUGGUUGGAAACCACAUUUGUGGAUUUUGAAGGAUGCCUAAUUCCUUUUCUUCGAAAUAAUUUGAAUAUUUACCUAGAAUUCAAACUGGUUUUGUAGAUUAAGUAAAUUCAUAUUUAUUAAACAAAUAAAUAGGUUUCUUAUUUUUUUUCUUAAAAAUUAGGUGGCGAUUCUGUAUAAAAAUCAAUUCUUUUAGAGUCAUAAAUGUCAUACUCGUUUAUACAGUUAGGUUGGAUAUAACAGUUUGGCGACUUUGUUGGGGAUGCAAGGUUCUAACCAUUACAAAUUUAGGUAAAUAUUUAUAUUUUUCUACUUUAUUAUUUGUUUCUUUUUAAUUGUCUUGAUUUAUCUUGUUUGUGUGGCAUAAAUUGUUAUUUGUUUUGUAUAACUUAUUUAUUUAUUUAUUGCUUUAUAUAAACUGACAUUCCGUUCAUAUUUUUUCCCUUUGGAAAAGAUGACACAAUCAUACAUACACGUGUGGUGUGUUUUGCGCAUCCGCAAAUUUAUUUCAAAAUCCUAAAUUUUAGGAGAGUUGGCAUAUAUGCAGAGUGUCCGAAGCCUUUUCUGUGUGCCCGUGUAGCUUUCUCACUCGAGUAGUUCGCUCGAGAACCACAGGUCUAGCAAACCCACUCUUAGUCGAACAUAGGAUAGAGCUAAAACAACACCUUUUUAGGCGUAUGCAUCAUUAGUCAACUUUAUGUUCGAAGGAUUGACAAUUCACGAGACAAUUAUUAUAGUCUUUGUUCAUAUUUGAAGGAUUAUUGUGUUUGUACAUAUUUAUUUGUUCUAAAUUAUUUAUUCUUUUGUGGGAAGGUGUAACCUAAUCUUUGUUUCCAUGGUUAAUCAGUUAAAAAAUACACCUUAUCAAUAUCACCACUAGUUGCGUAUAGAUUUGAACUACGUUUAAACCUAAUUCUUAUCCUGACAAGAUACGUAGGCAACCCUGCAUUAAAGUUCGGUCUCUUCACUAUUUCAAAAUAAUUUCAUCGGUAUUCAAGUUGGGGCAAUUUUCUUGAAAAGUUCAAAGACGUUCUCUAAAAAUCUUCAAGAGCACAAAUCAAUAGCUCCUCAAAAUUCCAAUCUCAAUAACAUUAGGGUCUAGCUAGCCUACCUCCAGAUUUUUACCUAUUUUUUGUGCAAGAAUAUCUAACUUCUUCUUUUAAAUGUCGUAAACUAUUAAAUUUAUGGCAUAUCGAUCCUCACUUUCAAAAACAAGAAUUCAAAUUUUUUUUCAGUUAUAAUAAUCCUUCCAACUGCAGCGAAAUAAUGUCAUAAUUCCUUCAAUGUUCGACUUUUUUAAUCUUGUCAGCAUACUGAAGUUGUGUCAAAGCUCUCCCUAUGCUUUACAUCCAUUGUUUUGAUUAUUUGAUCAGAACAAUUUUAAUGCUAAAAGCAGUUCUUUCUUAAUCGUCUUUCAUAUUAUUUUUAUGAAUGAUCAUCAAUUUUUUUAUAAUCAUACAUUGCACAUACAAAUUUGUAAAUUUGCUUAAACUACGCAGACCUGAUUAUUGUUUUCACAAGAUAUGUAGGCAACCCUCAGUUGGAUUUGAUCCCAUUCUUUUAGAAAAAUAAUAAAAUUUUGACUUGAUUAGUACCAAUACAGUUAGGAGUGUGCAUGCAAAAGAACAAAUUGGUAUGAUGUAAAUGACAUAUUUCAUGGUAAACCAUAGAUUCUCUUGGUACCUUUUAUCACACCUUAAUGAUGCCUGAAAAUUCUCUUGCAUACAUCUAAGACAAGAACGAAACCAACCUCGUCGUUUCUUGUGCAUUGUGUGUUUAGCGUUAGUUUAAUUACAACAACAACAACAAACCCAGUAUAUUUCCACCUAGUGGGGUCUGGGAAGGGUAGAAUGUACGCAGUCCAUACAACUACCUCUAAAGAAGUAGAGAGGCUGUUUUCGAUAGACCCCCGGCUCAAGACACAGGACAAUAUACAAAAAUAUUCAAAGCAUGAAACAUGAUAAAACUAACAUAGAUACAACAUCCACAAAAGUAAUGUACAAUACCAAACAAAAGACACCAAAACUCUCCUAACUAUGGACUACGAUUCAUCCACCCACCUUAUCCCUCUAUCCUAGUGUUUUAUCUCCAAACCUUCCUAUCCAGGGUUAUUUCCUCAGUGAGACGUAACUAAUCCAUGUCACGUCUAAUCACUUCUUUCCAGUAUUUCUUCGGUCUACCCUACCCCGCUUGAAACCAUCUAACGCUAGUCUCUCAUACCUACGAACUGGGGCAUCCGUGCCCCUCCUCAUCACAUGACCAAACCAUCUCUACCUCACUUUCCGCAUUUUUUCCUCCACCGAUACCACUCUCACCUUCUCCCGAAUAAUCUCAUUCCUAACCCUGUCAGCCCUUGUAAGACCACAUAUCCAACACAACAUCCUCAUUUCCGCCACCUUCAACUUUUGGAUAUGGGAAGUCUUAACUGGCCAAUACUCCGCUCCGUACAACAUAGCCGGCCAGACUGCAACUCUAUAUAAUUUGCCUUUAAACUUGGGAGACACCUUCUUAUCGCAUAAAAUCCUCGAAGCGAGCCUCCAUUUUAUCCAACCUGCCCCAAUACGGUGCGAGAUAUCCUCAUCUAUCUCUUCAUUUCCCUGGAUCGUAGACCCAAGAUACUUAAAACUAUCCCUCUUGCAAACUGCUUGAGAAUCCAACUUCACCACCACCUCUUCCUCUUGCCUCGAGUCACUAAACUUGCACUCCAAAUGCUUCGUCUCGUUCCUACUCAAUAUGAAACCUUUAGACUCUAGAGUUUGUCUCCAAACCUCCAACUUACCAUUAACACCUUGCCGCGACUCAUCAAUCAAAACUACAUCGUCCACAAAAAGCAUACACCAAGGCACCUCACCUUGUAAACUCCACGUCAGCACAUCCAUCACCAUGGAAAAUAAGAACGAACUAAGAGCCGAUACCUGAUGCAACCCUAUCAAGACCGAAAAAUGCUCAGAAUCUCCUCCCACCGUCCUUACUCGAGUCUUCGCCCCCUCAUGCAUAUCCUUAAUAGCUCUAAUGUACGCCACAGGAACCUCCCUCACCUCCAAGCAUCUCCAAAGAAUCUCCCUAGGGACCUUGUCAUACGCCUUUUCCAAGUUAAUAAGUACCAUGUGAAGAUCUCUCUUCCUCUCUCUGUACUGCUCUACCAGUCUUCGCACAAGGUGAAUUGCCUCUGUCGUCGAGCGACCAGACAUAAAUCCAAAUUGAUUCUCCAAAAUAGACACAAUUUUUCUCAACCUCCGCUCUACCACUCUCUCCCAAAUCUUCAUCGUGUGACUCAACAACUUAAUACCUCGGUAGUUGUUGCAACUCUGAAUGUCACCCUUGUUCUUGUAUAGAGGAAUCAUCGUGCUCCAUCUCCAUUCCUCAAGCAUCUUCACGGAUUUGAAAAUGUUGUUAAACAAGUUGGUCAGCCACCUUAACCCAGCCACGCUAGAAAACUUCCAAAAAUCCACCGAAAUCUCGCCGGGCCCCGUCGCCCUGCCCCUUCGCAUCUUGCGAAUAGCCUCGCUGACAUCCUCUACUUUAAAACGUCGACAAUAGCCGAAAUUGCGACACUCCCCGGUAUGAUCCAACUCCCCUAGCACAACACCUCUGUCCUCCUCGUCAUUCAAGAGUUUAUGAAAAUACGAUUGCCAUCUUUUCGUAAUAAGGGCGUCCUCCACCAAUACUCUACCAUCUUCCCCCCUUAAUGCACUUUACUUGAUCCAGAUCCCGACCCUUUCGUUCCCUAGCCUUGGCAAUCCUAAACAACCUCUUUUCCCUGCCUUUCUCCUCUAACCCCGUAUACAAACUCUCAAAAGCUGUUGUCUUAGCAGCUGUAACUGCUAACUUAGCCUCCUUCUUAGCUAACUUAUAGUCCUCCAUACUAACCUGUUUCUCCUCUUCAUCCUUACUCUCCACCAAUUUAACAUAAGCCGUCUUCUUCGUCUCCAUCUUCUUCUUAACGUCUUCAUUCCACCACCAAUCCCCUCGAUAUCGGCCUGACCAGCCCCUCGAGAUACCCAACACUUCUUUAGCAGAUUCUUUGAUACAUCCCGCAGUCCUAUCCCACAUACUAUCUACGUCCCCGCUAUCCUCCCAAACCCCCAUCCCUUCCAACUUCGCCCCUAUCUCCAAGGCACUAGCUGGAGUCAGUCCACCCCACCUAACUCUAGGAUGGCCCUCCCCACCUCGUCUCUUCUUGCCCUUCUUGAUACCCAAUUUUAUCACUAGAAGUCUAUGCUGGAUCACAAGAUUCUCACUCGGGAUAGCCUUACAAUCCUUACACAUUGCUCUAUCUCCCUUCCUAAGCAGCAAAAUGUUAAUUUGAGUCUUGGCUAGCCUACUACAAAAAGUAACCAGAUGCUCCUCCUUCUUUGGAAAGUUGGAAUUCAUUACCACUAACCCAAAGGCCCUCACAAAAUCUAAAAGAGCAGCUCCCUCAACAUUUCUAUCCCCGAACCCGAAACCUCCAUGCAUAUCAUCAUAACCCAUCGGCAGAGACCCGAUGUGCCCAUUAAAAUCCCCUCCUAUGAAAAUCAUCUCUGAACUAGGUACGCCUCUUACCACCUCGUCCAAAACCUCCCAAAAGUUUAAUUCGUUGCAUUAUAUUGUUGAUCUAGAACUUGGCUUUAAUGUUCGUUGAGGCAAAAUUCUGAGUUGCACUUAAUUUAGGAAAGGACCGUAGGCCUUCUUUGGGCCGGUUGAGCCUUUUACAGCCUACCAAAUGACAUUGAUCCCUAGCAUUUCCCCUUUUGAUCCUAAAACUUUUUCUUUGGACAAUCGUAUCUGAGCCUAUACCUUUUUUAAGUGCUUACAUGCACUAUCCCUUUCUUGGCCCUACCUCCUUAAGUGCACUAAAUACGUGCAAAUUAAAAACGAAGGUUCAAGAUCAAAGACGCAAAAUGCAAAGGAUACGUUGUUCCAAAUGAACAAAAUGAAAAAAACGACUUCAAAAGAAGCAAAAUUCCCCACAAAAAAAAGAGAAAAGAAAUCCCCCACAAAGAAAUCCAACACAAGAUUCAAAAAAGUCGAAGCAAGUACAAAACAAGGGGCAACGGAACACAACUAAAAAGAUCACGCGUUAAAGUGCAACAAAUGUUGAAAGCACAAAUGCAAUACAAUGCUCAUUGAGAAAUUAGUUACUUUUAUCCCAAAUAUUAUCCUACCCACCCCCAAGCCCACAUUACAACCCAAUAACAAGUCCUACCGGAUUCUAUUCCAAGCGUUCUCACAUUGGUGUAUACUUACAUGAAGGUCAAGCCUAUAGUAUCACAAUUGCAUGCAUUGAAUUUCUUUUCGAGUGUGAGUGUAUUUCUUGAUACAUUCCUAAAUUCAAAAGAAAAUUACUCAAAUAUAUGCAAAAUGAGACUUUCUUACUCAAAUAUAUGCGAAAAUAAAACUUUCUUUCUAAGGCACUUGAAUCAUAAGGAUAGGCAUAGUUUGACUUUUUUGAAUGAAGCAAGAUGAGUAAGUCUUGUCGAUAUUUAGGUGUGUCUGAGGUACCACUUGAAACUAUAAAAGUUACCAUAAAAUCGAUCUCGGUAAGCUGGGAAGGAGAUGGGGAAAUUUUUAUGCAUACUAUUAAUUAUUGGUACCAACUGAAGCCAAGACACGAUCAUGCCUUUUUUAUCUUUUAGCACUUUUUAUUGAGAAAAUACAAUUUUUUUCAAGACACCUAAUUUCAUAUACGAGCGUUUGUUUCAUCUUUCAUUCAAGGUGCCCACUUUCAUAUAUAUGUAUUUUUACUUUUUAUUUAAGGUGAUCAAUUUUGAAAUACGGGCAUUAGAUUUUUUCUUUCAAGCACAUAUCUUUAAAUAUCGAUAUUUUGUUUUUCGAUCAAGCGCCUAUUUUUUGGUGUUUUUACAUUUUUUAUAGCCCCUCCUGUCGAGAGUAUAUUACAUUUGUUUUGCAGUUUAAAGCCUUUUACAUUUCAAUAGCCCCGUCAAUUGAGUGACUAUUAGAUUUCAGCCAGCUCACUUGUUGAGGGCCUUAGUCUUCGUAGACAAUAAAAAAUGACAAUCAACAUUAGUCUUCAUAACAAUCGAAGAUGUCAUACAUUUUUUCCACGUCUCGAUAAGCAAUCGGAGGCGUCAUGCAUUUUUCAAUUCACAAUAGUUAGACAUUUUUUUAGUUCCCUUAGAAGAGGUCUUGUUGGCCAUAGAUCAUACACUAGGGCAAAUUUUGAGAGCCGCCUCAAAAUUUACUCUAUUUCUUUACUUUGAACUACAUUGACCUGAUUCUCGUGACACUCGAGAUAUGUAGGAAGCUCUAUGCAGAUUUAGGUCAUCACAAUCUCAUAAUCAUUCUUUCUCCUUAGUAAGUACACAAUAUUGCAUCAUAAAACUCGAUACUGGAGUAAUUUUGAAAGCAACAUCGAAAAUAUAUGAACACUUUCAUUCUCAAAUAAUUCUUUGCUCAAUAAUCAUUUUUUACAGGGAUUUGUCCACCCUAAAAUAGGAUAAUUGGGUCAGUCUGCCCUCCAAUAAGACAGUUAUGCAUGUUUUUAUUCAAUUAAAUAUUUAUGCUCUUUACUUGCACAUAUCACACUUCAUUUAUUUCUUUUUACAAUGCAUGUUAUCUUUGUCUUUACUUGCAUGCAAAACAAUGUAUUUAUUUUAUCAUUUGUUAUUUAAGCAUUGUAUAUUUUUCUUGCCUUUAUUUGCACAUCUCAGAAUACAUUUAUUUUAUUUAAGCACUGUAUUUUUUUUGCCUUUACCUGCACAUACUACAAUGCAUUUAUUUUAUCAUUUAAGCACUAUAUUUUAUCUUUGCCUUUAUUUGCAUGCAUCACAAUGAAUUUAUUUUAUCGUUUAAGCAUCACAUUUUAUCUUUGUCUUUACUUGCACACAUUGCAAUGCAUUUAUUUUAUAGUUUAAGCACUACAGUCUAUCUUUUCCUUUACUUGCACGCAUAGCAAUGCAUUUAUUUCAUCAUUUUAAACACUGCAUAUUAUCUUCAUCGCAAUGCAUCUAAGCACUACAUGUCAUCUUUGUAUUUAUUUACACAUGUCAUAAUGCACUUAUUUUAUUAUUUAAGCACUGGAUGUUAUCGCUGUCUUUGCCUGCACAUAUCGCAAUGCUUUUAUCAUUUAAGCACUGCACGCAUAUAUCGCAAUGCAUUUAUUUUAUCAUUUAGGCACUACAUGCGUCGCAAAAAUCGCAAUUUAUUUAUUUUAUCAUUUAAGCAUCACAUGUCAUUUUUUUCUUUAUCGACGUAUAUUGUUAUGCAUUUAAGCACUGCACGCACAUAUUGCAAUGCAUUUAUUUUAUCCUUUAAGCACUGCACGCCUCGCAAAUAUCGCAAUGAAUUUAUUUUAUUGUUUAAGCAUUGCAUGUCUCGCAUAUAUGGCAAUGCAUUUAUGUUAUUGUUUAAGCACUGCAUGUCAUAUUUGCCUUUACUGGCACAUAUUGCAAUGCAUUUAUUUAAGCUCUGCAUGCAUAUAUUGCAAUGUAUUUAUUUAUCAUUUAGGUACUGUACGCCUGCACAUAUUGCAAUGUCUUUGUUUUAUUAUUUGAGCUCUGAAUGCCAUCUUGGCUUUUCCUUGCACAUAUCGCAAUGCAUUUAUUUUACAGAUAAUACAUCAAAACUCCCCUGAACUUGUCCCGAUAACUUACUUUAGCACUUAAACUUUAUGGAUAAUUAUUUACCCCCUUAAUAUCUUUAUAGUGAAUUAAUUUUCCCUCUUAUGCUGAUGUGGCAUUUUUUUUAAAGAAAAAAAAUAAAAAAAAUGCAUGAACAGUAUUUUUUUAAAAUACUAAUAUAUAUAUAUAUAAAGAAAACAAAAACUCCUCUUCUUCACCCAUACCCGCCAACAGCCCCCCACCACCACCAAAUCCGCCAACACCCCCAUCCUACUUCUCCUCCAAUUACGAAAGCUGCCACCCCCCACCUUUAAUUUAUCCUCCUUCGACCCCUUAGAUUAAUAAAAGAAGAAUGAAAUUAAAUUUGAAAAUUAAAAAAUCUAUAUGAUUUGGAUGUUUGGUUUUUGAUUUUAGAGAAUUUGGUGUUGAUUUGAUUGAAGUUUUCAUGUGGAUUGAGUUUUUUUUAUCACCAUUUUAUGAUAUUUUUCGAUGGUGGCAAUUGAAUUUUUGAAGUGGGUUGAGUUUUCCGGCGAAAAUUCGCCGAAAUUUUCACCAAAAAACCUGGUCGGUGUGGUUGUGUAGGGGUGAACGAAGGUGGAUGGAGAAUGUUUAGGUGUGGCAGUGUAAGGGUGGGUGGGGCGUGUGUGCAGGUGUAGGGGUUGACGGGAGGGGCGGGGGAGGGGGAGUUAAAAUAUGUAUAUAUAUAUAUAUAUAUAUAUAUAUAUAUAAAUAAUAUUUAUAUAUAUUUUUAUAGAUAUUUUAUAUAUUUAUAUAUAAAAAUAUUUUAAAAAUACUUUAUUUACGUGGCUAUGACGUGACGGUGAUGUGACGCUGCUAUGGCAGCGAUUGUGAUGCACUCUCUCUCAUGAGAGUAGUGUUAUAUACUAAGGGGGGAAAUUAAUUCAGUUGAAAGAUGUUAAGGGGGGUAAACAAUUAUUUCUAAAGUUUAAGUGCUAAAGUAAGUUGUCGAAGCAAGUUCAGUGGGAUUUUGAUGUAUUAUCUCUUUAUUUUAUAAUUUAAACACCGCAUGUCAUUUUUACAUUUAUUUGCACAUCACAAUGUAUUUAUUUUGUUAUUUAAGCAUUGCACGCUUUGCCUUUACCUGCACAUAUCGCAACACACUUAUUUUACCAUUUAAGCACUGGAUGUUAUCUUUGUUUGUACCAUUUUUCUUAAUUAGUUAAGCACUGCAUGCUAUCUUUAAUUUCUCAAAAAAAGAAAAAAACAAGCUUAAUUUUUUGUUUGUAUUUUAUUGAGUAGUACUUCUUAGUUUGAUGCAUUUGCAAGUAUAUAAUUUGUGGAUGAAUUGGGUACGUCCACCCUAAAAUAGGACAUUUUAGGUUAGUCUGCCCUUUAAUAAAACAUUUUAUGCAUGUCUGUCUUUAAUUGAAUAUUUUAUUUGUCUUUAGUUAAAAUCUUGCAAUACAUUUAUUUAUUUAUCUUUAGUUUAGUUAAGCACUACAUAUCAUUUUUUCGAAUUUCUUGAAAAAAGAAAAAAAAUCAAGCUUUGUUACUCGUUUGUGUACUGUUUUUCAGUUUUAUAAAUUUUGCAAGCAUAGAGUUCGAGGAAGCAUUGGGUUUGCCUAACCCAAAAUAGGACAUGUUGGGAUAGCUUUUGAACUAUACCCUCCCUGAUCCUCAUGCAACACGAAAUAUGUAGGCAACUUUAAAUUGAAGUUCGUUCGAAUUCUUUAAUCAAAGAUAAUUUUUUUUCUUUUUAUCGAGCAAAAUUGGUUACACGUCAAUAUUUUCGUCUAAAGACUUCUAUAUCUUCUUCAAACAAAAAGUGGCAAAGUGUUGACACCCAAUUUUGGCUCUCCAAACAUAAAAUUAAUGCAUUCAGGCUCCUUGAUCGUUAAAUAGCAUAAAAUAUAUUUUUUCGUAUAUUUUUUACAAUUGUUAAUAAAUUAUUGAUAUUCAUCAUUAUUUUAGAAUUUUUAAUAAUUUAUUGUUUUAACUUUGCAUAAUUUAUUGAUAAUUAUUCUUAAUUUCAUAAAUUUUAGAAUUUUUGUCAGUUUAUUAUCAUUUUAAAUUUUUGUACAGUUAUUUGCAUGCGUAUAUAGCAUAGCAUUAUAAAUUUUUUGUAGCACACUAUAACUUAAAUUAUUUAUAGAAUAAUAAAUUUUUUAGAUAAUUUUAUUAUAUUUGUUAGUUGUAUUUUUCUGUAAUUAUAUAUCGACAUUCAUAUUUUUAUACGUUAUUUAAUAUAGUCUGCAAACAAUAAUGUCGGCUUAAUUAUUUUGAUAUACAAAGUAACAAAUUAAUCAAGUUAAAUCUCAUCACCUUUUAAAAAGUGAUAAUUAUGACGGGUGAACGCUUUCAUUCAUGGAAUAAAUAAUUUUUACACAUUAGUUAAAAAGGUGUAAGAACCAUUGAAUAACAUCUAGUAACUUAAAUUAUGUAUUAAAGAGACAAGAAAAAGUAGUUUAUUAUUUUUUGGAUAAAAAAAUAAAGUUUUUUUUAUUACUUUCUCCGUUUAAAAAAAAAUAAUCUAUUUUAUUGAAAUUAAAAUAUUAUAGAAAAAGAAUUAUUAUUUUUCGAACGAACUAAAUCCGAAGGUAGUUAUUUUUAAAAAAGAGGGAGUAUAAAUAAUAACAAGAGGGGUAAUUAUUUGUAACCUCAUAGUGCACACACAAACGCACAUACACACAUACGCACAUACCUCUCCAUUCUCUCUCUCACCAUCUCCGACCGCGUGACAGGCGGAGCACCACCAGUCGCUGCCCUUAUCUCACUCAUCUUUCCUUUCUCCUUCUUCCUCUUCACCGCCGCCAACAAAAUCGACCGGAGCCGCUGCCGCCCCCAUCCCUCUUUUUCUCUCUCCGCUCCAGCACCACCAGCUGCCACCGCGGCCUCAACAGCCACCGGCGGAGCAGCCAACCAGAUAAGUCAGCAGCCCGUUACACCCGUGUUUCCACCACCGUUGUCGGAGCUCGGGCAGGUCUCACUGCCAUCGCCUCCCUUUCCCUCUUUGCCCCUAUCGCUGACCAGCCUACUAUCACUACAGUAUCUUCUCCCUUUACCUGCAUUUUUGUAAUAAAAAUUAUUUUUUGAAGAUCUGUUUGGCUUUUGUAUUUUUUGGUGUUGCUCCGGUGAAAUCCGUGGACUUAGUGCCUCUCUUUUUCAUUGUUGCAACCAGAUCUGAUCGGGAAAUAUUUUUCUGUGUUGAAGUCUGUUAGCUCGUAUACUCUUGUAUCGUUAUUUUGUUCUGUCUGGGUAUUGUUACUGUAUGAACGGAUUAAGUUUGUUAAUUUCUAUUUUUUUCUUGUGUUUGUUCGAAGAUAAAUCAGCUCAGAACUUACAUUCUUUUUGACAAAUUUUGGAUUAUUUUGAUAAAAAUGAGAUGACCUCUGCUACUCGACUGCUUUCGUUCAUAAUUUUAUCACUUUUGCUUUAUGCCGUUAUAUUGUCUUUCUUUAUAUUAUCUUUCUUUGUCUCUUUAUUAUUAUUAUUUGGGGACUGAUUUAGUAUUGUUUAAAAUUUUCUUUUCAUUGACUUGUUAUUAUUUUAGUUGAUGAUAUGAUCACUUGAAUAUGUGUUCUUGAUCCAUUUGAUAUUGGUGCGUAUUUUAAAUGACACAUGUAAUCUGUCUUUUUCUGUUUAUUUUCCAAUGAUUUUAAGUAGUAUUGGUGUGCAUCUCUAUUUUUUGCGACUUAGUUACUUUAUUUUAUUUAUAUUUGAUUGUCCUUGAUUUAUUAGUUACUUUAUUUUAUUUAUAUUUGAUUAUUCUUGAUUUAUUUGGAAUCUGUCUUUUUCUGUUUAUUUUCCAAUGAUUUUAAGUAGUAUUGGUGUGCAUCUCUAUUUUUUGCGCCUUAGUUACUUUAUUUUAUUUAUAUUUUGAUUGUUCUUGAUUUAUUAGUAACUUUAUUUUAUUUAUAUUUGAUUAUUCUUGAUUUAUUUGAAUAUAUUUCAGGCACUUCCCAAAUUUUGCUCGGCAAGUUGUUCUAUUGUGUUUUUGUUUCAUUUGACUACUGUUGUUUGUAAAUUUUUUUUGCAUAUUAUUUUACAUUGUUUUUUUUGUUGAUUUUAUAUAAUUUUGUGUUUGGAAAUAUAUUUGGCCGAUCAAGAAACUUUCCUUUGAUUUUCGAGGCCAUCGCAAAUAAAAAGACGGAUAUUCCGUAUAUAAAUACGUAAUAAAAUAAAUAAUUUUGGGAAAUGAUGAAUCUUUAUAAAAAGAUUUUAAAUUUUUUUAUUUGAUCUCACUUUUUAACAAAAUUAUAUUUUUAAAUACAUAUAUGCAUACGUACUUUUAUAAUUUAUAUUGUUACUCCCUUCGUUUUGGAACAAGUAAAUUGUUGGGGUAUUUAUUAGUGUUUCAAAAUAAGUGAAUCAUUGAAUUUUUUUUCAAAUUUGUCCUUAUGAUUUGAUAAUCAAUUAACUUUUGAAAAGGUAUUACAAGGUCAAUUUUUUCUUUUUUGGAGAUAAAAUGAAAAGUUGUGUUAAAUUUAUGUCUUUAAUGAUUUUUUCUUAAUAUGUGUGUCAAAAUUCAACAAUUCAUUUAUUAUGAAACGAAGGAAGUAUUAUUUAUUUGUUACUAUCAUUGUUAGUAUAAGUGUUUGUACAUGUUAUUGAAAAUACUUAUCGGAAAAGCAUGCAAAGAAGACCUUAAAUUUUAUAUUUGUAUUUUUAUAUUUUUAUACUUGUACAAAUAUCAUCAUAGUAAAAUUUUAUUUUUGGGGCGUUGGGCGGGACUGUUCUUUAUUUAUACAAUCAAACUUCACCAUGCGUUUAGGCAAAUUUAGGUCGUAAUAUUUAUACAAAAAAGAAUUAAAUUAAUUUAGAUAUUAAAUCAAACAAAAUUAAAAAUACUUUCUUCUCUUUUUUCAUACAUAUUCUUAUGUACUUUGGUUACAUAUCUUUAUGUAUUUUUACGUUCAUAUUUUUUACGAUACAUAUAUAAUUUAUACAUAAUUUAAAUGUAGGUUAUUUUAAUACGCAUUUUAUAUUUAUAUUGAUAAACAUCAAUUUUUUCCUUCAUCUUUUAAUAAACGUAAGUCUGGCUGAAAAUCACAUUUGUGGAUUCUGAAGGAUGCUUAAUCUCUUUCUUUCAAAAUAAUUUGAACCAUUACCUAGAAUGCAAACUGUAUCGUAGAUUUAAUAAAUUCAUAUUUGUUAAACAAAUAAAUAGGUUUUCUAUUUUUUUCCUUAAAAAUUAGGUGGCGACUCUUUAUAAAAAAUUAAUUCUUUUGGAGUCAUAAAUGUCGUACUCGUUUAUACAGUUAGUUAAAAAUCGGUAACACCACAUUCGUAGUGGUGGUUGUGACGGUCAUUUGUAACUUCUUCUGCAAACCUUGACUUGUUUCAUUCCUUCACUUGACGGGUGUGAGUAAGCUUUUGUAGUUACACCCGUGGAAUUCUUUUAUUUCUUUAUUUCUUCUUUUAUAUUCUGCUUGUACUCUUUUUCCUGUAGAAUUCAUCAGAAAAUAUGCGAGGAUCGAAUAUAAUUAUUCAUAUUUUAUUUAAAAAUAUAAUUUUUAUAUACUAAAUUAUAUGAAUAAUUUAUAUCCAUAGAAUUUCCAUACUUGAACUUUUGCUCGUCCUCGAGAAAAAAAAAGAUAUUUUAAAGAUUUAAAGAAAUUCAUGUUUUUUGUAGGGUAGAAAAUUUAUGCAGAAUAAAUUUCUUUCAUAAUGCUCAAUUUAAUUAAUCUUUCUAAAUUCACUAAAUGUUACCUUAUUCUGAAUUUUGCUCUGAUCAGAAAUAGCUUGCUUUCUUCUUCUUUUCAAUCCUUUAGAAUUGCUAGGUUUAUGAUUACUUAUUCAGUGAGUAUCACAACUUUGUCCAUAGGCUUGAUUCUUAUGUUAUCUCCACUAAUAUAGAUUCCACACUAUUUUCUGAAAUCAUUUAGGACUUUAUAGACUUGUAAUGUUAGGCUUCAGACUAGUAGGAUAAGGAUAUUUUAAUAGUGACUUUUUUUUUCUUGGGACAGUUCCUUUCUUUUAUUUCUCUUUCCUCCUUUUUUCUCUCUCUCUCUCUUUCUUUCUCUUUUUUUUCUAAAGACUUGAACUAAUAGUUUUUUUUUUCAUUUCUCUUUUUUUUGCCAUUUCUCAAAGAAAAUUAUAUUUCAAAAUUUCAUUUUUUUCAUCUAUUGAAUACUGUCCAUUUAUAGUUGAAGUGAAUAUAUGUGUAUAUUUGAACUUACAUAUAUUUUCUGAGAAUUAGAGUGUUAGAAAAGGAAAAAAAAAAUAGGGCUCAAAAUAAAGGUUCUAAAAAGAAAAAAUAUGUGGGUGUGGAUAGAAAUAGAGGUUAAAAUUUGGUAUCAAAGAAGGCCUAAUAUCAUCUUUCAGAAAUAAGUAUCGUCUAUUAUUUCACUUUGAGAAACAUUACGACCAAGUUCUAGCCAAAUUUGUUGAUUCCUCCUGUUUAGGGAUCAUAACUCUUCUCAAUUCACAAGAUUUUUGAGUUGAAGAUGCUUGUUUUUUCCUUCACAAAUUAAAAUAAAAAAUUAUAAAAAUCAUAUGGUGAAAAUAGAAAGAAAUAAUCUUGACUAUAAUGUAACAAAUUUAUUUUGUUAAUUUAAAAUCUACAAUGCAAUCAUGUUUAAAAAAAUAUAUAAAAUAUUUUUGACUUUUAAAUUUACAACUGCAGAAGAAAGUUUGAAAGAAACUGCAAUCAUACACCUUAUAUUUAUUAGAAGUAAAUAUAUAUAUAUAUUUAUAUAUAAAUUAUAUUCCUUAGCGUCGAUGUGAUUGUUACUUCUAUGAAGCUUCAAUGUGCCCUUCUACGAUAGAAUUAUGAUUAUAUGAGUAAAAAUGUUUAGAAUAAUAAUAAUAAGUAAUGAUAAAUAAAAUUUUAAUAGGUUGUGAUUUUAAUGAUAUAUAUAUUGCUCUCAAGGAAAAAUAACUUUUCAAUUUAGUUUUGAUUCCUUGAUUCUGCAGUGAAGUACAAGUUUAUAUAUAUAGUAUUAGAAACAAAUAAUUAUUUGUCCUUGGUUUAAUAUAAACAAAAAAAUUACAUGAGCCAAUAAUUAUCAUGCACAAUUAAUUGGUUAAUCAACCAGUUACUUAGGCAUACCGAUCACCAUGGAAUUACUCCUGUGUAGGUGACUCUAUUUUUGUAGAGGCCUUCAUGAGAUGUUUUGGUUGUACAAUAACCUGGAUAUUAACCAAUUCAAUUGAUUAAACAAUUAAUUGACGUGAAUUUAUACUGGACUUAUGAGGCUCCAUUGCUUCACGCUCAAUGACUAUGGACAGAAAUAGUAGUUCUGAGUUUAAUGUCAUCAGCUCGACUUAUUCAUUGCUUGAUUCAUUAUUAAAUCAGUGUCACUGAUAGUUGCUCAUCAAAUCAUCCUUCAAAAUAGAAUUUUAACCUAUGACCAUUUACCUUAAACUUAUCUCCAUCUUUGAUAUGUUGUAUUUCAAUAGCUCCAUAAGAAGUGAUAUUUGUAACGCAAUAGGGACCUUUCCAUCUAGAUUUCAGUUUUCCAGAAAAUAAUCUAAGUUUCCUGCUGUAAAUAACUACCAAGUCUCCAAUCUUAAAACUCUUUGGUCUAAUCAUUUUGUCAUGCCAUUUUUAAAUUUUUCUUUAAAAAUUCGGGUAUUUUUAUAGGCUUCUAACCUCAAUUCUUCUAAUUCAUUGACUUGGAGAAAUCUAUUUUUUCAGCAGAGGUUAAUUCAAAAUUCAGUAUUUUCAAUGCCCAAAAAGCUUUGUGUUCUAAUUCAACACGUAAAUGACAAGCUUUUUCAAAGAUCAAUUUAUACGGAGAUGUGCCAAUUGAUAUUUUAAAGGCCGUUCGGUAUGCCCAUAGAGCAUCAUCUAAUUUUAAGACCCAAUUUUUUCUCGAAAUUCCAACCAUCUUUUCUAUUAUUCUUUUUAUUUCACGAUUGAUAACUUCUACUUGUCCUUGAGUUUGAACAUGAUAUGGUGUUCUUUUUUUGUGAGUGACACCAUAAUUUGAUAGCAAAGAAGAAAAUUUUUUAUUAAUGAAGUGAGUCCCUUGAUCGCUAAUGAUGACUCAUGGUGUGCCAAAUCUGGUAAAAAUAUUUUUUCUGAGAAAAUCACACACUGUAUGAGCAUCAUUUUUUUGUGUGGGAAUUUCUUCUACCCACUUCGAUACAUAAUUCACUGCCACGAGAAUGUAUGUAUAAGAGUGAGAAGAAGGAAAAGGACUCGUAAAAUCUAUUCCCCAAACAUAAAAAAUUUCACAUACAUGUAUUGAUUGUAAUGGCAUCUCAUCUCUCUUUGUGAUAUUACCUGUUCUCUAGCAUUGAUCACACUUUGCAACAUAUGCUCAAGCAUCCUUAAAAAUUGUAGGCCAAAAAAAUUCAGCUUCUAAAAUUUUAAAGGUGGUUCGAUUGGCUGCAUAAUGUCCUCCAAUUGCUCUACCAUGACAGUGAUAAUGUAUGUUGUCCAUAUCCUCCUCAGGUACACAUCGUCUGAUGAUAGAAUCUGCACAAUUUUUAAAUAAGUAAGGUUCAUCCCACAAGUAAUAUUUAGUAUCAGAUAUGAGCUUUUUUUCUGUUGGUAAGUGAGAUCUUGGGGUAUCCACUUUCCAACCAAGUAAUUUGCAAUAUCUACAAACCAGGGUGGCUGAGUUGCUACUGAGAAAAUAUGUUCAUCAAAAUAUUCUUUUUCAUCAAAAAAUUCUUUCUUUAUUUCUGUAAGCUCCAAAAGGGGUUUCUCUAAUCUAGACAAAUGAUCAGCUACUUGAUUUUCUGUUCCUUUUUGUCUUUAAUUUCAAGGUCAAAUUCCUACAAAAGUAAAAUCCAUCUUAAUAAUCUAGGUCAAGUAUCUUUCUUUGCAAAGAGGUAUUUUAAAGUUGCAUGGUCAGUGAAAACAAUAACUUUGGCUCCUAUUAAAUAAGAGUGAAACUUAUCAAAUGCAAAUACUACUGGUAAUAGUUCUUUUUCUGUUGUUGCAUAUUUCUGCUGAGCGUCAUUCAAAUUCCUACUAGCAUAAUAAAUGGGAUGAAAAAUCUUAUCCUUUCUCAGGCCUAAAACAGCACCUACUCCGUUAUCACUAGCGUCACACAUAAUCUCAAAAGGUCGAUUCUAAUAAGGGGAGACAACUAUAAGAGCGGGACAGCUAUAGGAGUGGUUGAUAAUCUAUUCUUGAGUGUUUCAAAGGCCUUUAAACAAUCACUUAAAAAUUCAAACCCAACAUCUUUUAUCAGAAGCUUAGUUAGAGGUUUUGAGAUUUCUGAAAAGUCUUUAAUGAACCAUCUGUAAAAACCUGCAUGUCCUAGAAAACUUCUAAUGCCUUUAACAAUUGUGGGAGGAGGUAAUCUUGCUAUAAUAUCAAUUUUAGCCUUAUCAACUUCUAUCACUUUAGCAGUGAUUUUAUGUCCUAAAAUAAUUCCUUCGAUAAUUAUAAAAUGACAUUUAUCCCAAUUAAGGAUCAAGUUUGUCUACUUACAUCUUUUAAGGACUAAGGUUAAGUGAUAAAGACAAUCUUCAAAUGAUUUUUCAAAAAGUGUAAAGUCAUCCAUAAAAAUCUCUAGGAAUUUUUUGG